UUGCCACAAAUGGAGCCAUAUAGAGGAA
rnacentral:piRNA from 1 species